rnacentral:rRNA from 1 species
AUGAAACAAUUAUAUGGUGACUGGGCAAAUACUUUUAGGAUGCUUUAUAAUUUCAAAGCAGAGGUGGAGAAGAGGUCACCUGGCAGUGUUGUGGAGACAGAUACUGAGGUAACAGAGGAUGGAAGAGUCCUUUUCUCUAAGUUUUUUAUGGCUUUAAAGCCUUGCAUUGAUGGCUUCAAGGCAGGGUGUCGUCCAUAUUUGAGCAUAGACUCAUCAUUUUUGACUGGCAAGUGGAAUGGUCAAUUGGCAGCUUGCAAUGCUUUGGAUGAACACAACUGGAUGUUCCAUGUUGCUAUUGACUUAUUUCAGUCAGAGACAGAGGUCUCGUGGACAUGGUUCAUGAUGCAUUUGAAAAGAUGCAUAGGGCCAGUGUCACCUUUGGCAGUCCACACAGAUGCAUGCAAAGGGCUAGAAAACGCAGUGGAGAAUGUUUUCCCCCAUUGCGAGCAGAGGGAGUGCUUCGGCCAUAUGUGGAUGAAUUUGAUCAAAAAAAUCAGAGGGGAAGAAUUUGGUCGCAUGUGGCCAGCAGCAAGAUCUUACACUAAACAGACACAUUCAUAUCAUCUUGGUAAGAUAAUGACAGCAUGCCCUGAGUUUGGUCCAUGGGUGAACACCUACCAUUCUCUAUUAUGGUAUAGGUCAGGAUUUAACACUGCCAUCAAGUGUGAUCAUAUCAACAACAACUUGGCAGAAAGUUUAAACAACAAGGUGAAGAGUUAA